UGCAUAUCAAUAAGCGGAGGAAAAGAAACUAACAAGGAUUCCCCUAGUAACGGCGAGUGAACCGGGAAGAGCUCAAAUUUGAAAUCUGGCGUGCUCAGUGCGUCCGAGUUGUAAUCUAUAGAGUCGUUUUCCGUGCCGGACUGUGUCCAAGUCCCUUGGAACAGGGUAUCAAAGAGGGUGAUAAUCCCGUACUUGACACAAUGACCGGUGCUCUGUGAUACGUCUUCUACGAGUCGAGUUGUUUGGGAAUGCAGCUCAAAAUGGGUGGUGAGUUCCAUCUAAAGCUAAAUAUUGGCGAGAGACCGAUAGCGAACAAGUACCGUGAGGGAAAGAUGAAAAGCACUUUGGAAAGAGAGUUAAACAGUACGUGAAAUUGUUAAAAGGGAAACGAUUGAAGUCAGUCGUGACUGAGAGGCUCAGCCGGUUCUGCCGGUGUAUUCCCCUCAGUCGGGUCAACAUCAGUUUUGUUCGGUGGAUAAGGGCAGUUGGAAGGUGGCACCCUCGGGUGUGUUAUAGCCAGCUGUCGCAUACAUCGGAUGAGACUGAGGAAUGCAGCUCGCCUUUAUGGCCGGGGUUCGCCCACGUUCGAGCUU
rnacentral:rRNA from 1 species